rnacentral:misc_RNA from 1 species
GAUGAAGAACGCAGCGAAAUGCGAUAAGUAAUGUGAAUUGCAGAAUUCAGUGAAUCAUCGAAUCUUUGAACGCACAUUGCGCCCGCCAGUAUUCUGGCGGGCAUGCCUGUUCGAGCGUCAUUUCAACCAUCAAGCCCCCCCGGCUUGUGUUGGGGACCUGCGGCUGCCGCAGGCCCUGAAAAGCAGUGGCGGGCUCGCUGUCACACCGAGCGUAGUAGAUCUCAUCUCGCUCAGGGCGUGCUGCGGGUUCCGGCCGUUAAACCACCUUCAUAACCCAAGGUUGACCUCGGAUCAGGUAGGAAGACCCGCUGAACUUAAGCAUAUCAAUAAGCGGAGGA